rnacentral:rRNA from 1 species
CGUGAGACAGGUUAGUUUUACCCUACUGAUGGAGUGUUAUCGUAAUAGUAAUUGAGCGUAGUACGAGAGGAACUGCUCAUUCGGAUAAUUGGUAUUUGCGGCUGUCCGAUCGGGCAAUGCCGCGAAGCUAUCAUCCGCUAGAUUAUGGCUGAACGCCUCUAAGUCAGAAUCUGUGCCAGAAACGAUGAUGUUGGUCCCGCACAUGUUAGAUGUGUUACAAUAGAGCUU